rnacentral:lncRNA from 1 species
CGGCCCCGGCCCCGCUUCCUCUUCCUGCCCGCUCGGGGCCCCGGGGCUGUGGGGGUGCCGCCGCCAUCUCGCGGCGGGCCGGGACCUGCCCCGGCCUCGUUCACCCCCCUCCGCCGCACGGUGCUCGCUGCGGGCACGGCCCCUGGUCGGAGCUGAGCCUUGCGGUUCGCCUCCGUAAGGCGAGGGGCAGAGGGCUGAGCUUUGAAUGUGCCUAACAUACGAAUAUGUAUGUGUUUAGAGCAUAUAUACGCGUACACAAGUUUAUACAUGGUGGACAUGCGCCCUGGGCUUGUUUUCUCUGAAGGCAGAAGCACAGCACGCAGCAGCGCUUUGUCAAGGGGAAGUGUGUGUGGGAGGGUGGCUGAGCAGACAGUAAUUAAGGGAAUGAUGCACACAUACAGCAGUACAAGGGACUUCUCCACGCUAUGUAAAAUCUUCUGAAGGGCUGUGAGUUCAUUCAAAUACCUUCAGCUGAGGUAACAGGGAAGAACAUAAGUAAACCUGAAGUUUUGCCUUCCCUGGAGUUUUAAUGGCCAAGACAGAGAGCAGCGCUCCUCACAUCUAGCAUUAGGCAUCUGCCAGAUCUGUGUAGAAAGGAAACCAAAAGGAUUUAUGGAAGGAAAGUAAUGAGAUCUUGACAAAUAGGGGAAUUGCCCCACAGAGAAUCUCCGUGUUCAUCAGAUGGCCUUCCUCAGGGCUGGAGCACCACUUGCAGCUGAGGCUGUUCAAAGGGGACCUGCAAAUACGAAGUGCUGCAGAAAUAGGACAGAUGGCACCAAAUGUGCAACUGAGGUCUCCCUGGGUCUAUCAGCUGAGUGGGAUGGAAGGGCAAUUUUAGGGGAACUCCAGGUGAAGGUGUUUGAGCUGGCUGUGUGCUGACUGCUGGCUCGGUGUUGAGGAAGAGCCUGGGGAGGCCAUCAAGGUGCAAGGCUAGGCCUCAGCCUGCAGCCGGGCUCGGUGGGCUGGGUCAGGUCCUGCACCAGGGCUGGCUCCCCUCACGCUGUUGGGAGAGACCAGCUCAGAGUGUCCGGGUGAAGCCCCAGCAGCCACUAUAAAGGAGGUGAACAGACCUGCCCACAGCCAGCCUGGGUGGAAACUUCAAGGGAAAACUUCAAGGAAACUUCAACUUAGCUGAGUUAUCUGGAGUUACUCAGGCCCUUAAUUUCCGAAGCUCAGUCCUCUUAGCUGCUUUGAGCCACAUUGAGUUUGCCUGUGUUGUGGUCCAGGAUAUCCUUAAGAACCUGCUCAGAGGGUGAAAUUUAGGAGAACAGCAAGUG